UGCACAGGUUUUGAUAAAUCUCCCUAAUAGUGUUCUGUAUGUCAUCCACCACAGUGUAAGGCUUGCAGAAAUUGAGAUGUCUACUGAAGCCAUAACUUAACCUAGAUGUAUGUAUGGAUGUAUGGACUACAUUUUCAGUCGAAGACAUUUCUGGAGUAAUUUUUCCUUCAUGCAAACACAACAGUAAGAAGAACUACUUCAUAAUGGCCGCUAAAGCACACAAGAACAUUCUGAUUUCCCUCACCCCCCACAAAACAGGAGCAUGCAGUCAGUAAGCCUCUGUAAUACCAUUAUCAAUUAUUUAAAGGUCCGAAAUGAUUAAGCAAUUAGUAAAGAAGGACACGCUAUAGAUUUCUCUAUCCUUCUCCAUUGAAGGUUUACUAUAAGAAAUGA